UACAGAGGUCCCGAGCGUUGUUCGGAAUUACUGGGUGUAAAGGGUCAGUAGGCGGUGUGGCAAGUUGGGAGUGAAAUCUCUGGGCUCAACCCAGAGGCUGCUUCCAAAACUGCUGUGCUUGAGUGUGAGAGAGGCGCGUGGAAUUGCAGGUGUAGCGGUGAAAUGCGUAGAUAUCUGCAGGAACACCCGUGGCGAAAGCGGCGCGCUGGAUCACAACUGACGCUGAAUGACGAAAGCUAGGGGAGCAAACAGG
rnacentral:rRNA from 1 species